AAGUAAUGACAUGAAGUCAUAUGUCUAUAUAGUGUAAUUGAUACCCGAUUCGGUUCUAAAUUCGGAAAUGAAGUUCUGCUCUUCUAGCAAAUCUCUUAGUAUUUAAAUUGAUUUGAACUCAUGCUUUUACACUGCUCAAUGGUGGCUUGCUAAUUACUUGCAUGUGUCUAUCAGAUGACGGAGACAACAAUGACUUUGAUGAUGAUUUUUGAUGGGGUACAGCUUGGAAAAUGGGAAAGGACAGCCAAAAGCCAAGUAGGUGACAACGACAACGACAGCGAUGAUCAUAGUUUUGAGGUCCAGAAGAAAGCAGUGUUCAUGUUAUGAAAAAAAUAGGCAUCAGGAUGCUUCAAUUAGCUACAGAACAAUCCAAUUAGCAAUCGUAAAUUCUAUUUUCCCUAGUUUAUAUUGACAUUCUGGGAUUUUUUUUUUCUAUUCGAAUUUAGUGAAAGGAUGUGUGGUGGAUGAUGGGAAUAUGCUGGAUAUAGAACUUUCAAUUCUUUGUGUUA